CCUACGGGAGGCAGCAGUGAGGAAUAUUGGUCAAUGGGCGGAAGCCUGAACCAGCCAAGUCGCGUGAGGGAAUAAGGCCCUACGGGUCGUAAACCUCUUUUGCCGGGGAGCAAAGUCGGGUACGUGUCCCGUCCCGUAGAGUCCCCGUAGACAAAGCAUCGGCUACCUCCGGGCCGGCGCCCGCGUUAAUCCGGGGGAUGGGAGCGUUAGCCGGCUUUAUGGGGUUUAAAGGGUGCGUAGGGGGGCUUUUAGGCCAGCGGUAAAGAUUCGGGGCCCAACCCAGUACUGCCGUUGAGACUGGCGGCCUUGAGUGCGGGAGAAGAAGGCGGAAUGCGUGGUGUAGCGGUGAAAUGCAUAGAUAUCACGAAGAACCCCGAUUGCGAAGGCAGCCUACUGGAGUGCGACUGACGUUGAGGCACGAAAGUGUGGGGAUCGAACAGGAUUAGAUACCCUUGUAGUC
rnacentral:rRNA from 1 species